UAACUCGUUCAGUUGGCUAUU
rnacentral:piRNA from 1 species